GCGCGCGAGCCUGCGGCGGCGCCCCGAGCCCGGAGGAUCCCCCACCCCUCCCCCCCCCGCCCCCCAGAAAUGUUGCAAACUUUUGCAGCCCGUUCUCGGCUUGCGGGAGCAGAGGGGGGCGGGGGAGGCGGCGGGAAGGUUGACAGCCGGCCGGCUCACCGCCCCCACCCCCGGCUUUGAUUUUUCUGCAAACACAGGAGGAAAGCUGCGUUGCCUUAAUUAAAUACGCUCCCCCAAAAUACGGAGAAGCGGGGAAUGGGGGCCCGGGAAAGAAACUUUUAAAGCGGCAGUGUCCUUUUAAGAAGGGGCCAAAAAAAAAAUCUGUUAUGGCCACCCUCCUCCUGCGUUACCUUUUCUCCUUUUGACAGUUUCGGCCCCGGCUGCCCGAGGGGUGUGUGUUCGGUCCCUCUCAGGUCUGGGCGGGGGGCGGGAAGAGUGAGCGACCUGGGAAAUCCAGGGGGUGGAGAGGGGGCGCUCCGGGGUCUGGGGCGGUGUGGACACCUUCUCUGGAGCACAGCGGUGCGUUUGAGAUUUGAAGGAAGGGCUGGAGGAAGGGGGGUGCGGGCGCUGGAGCUGCUGGCCAAGUUGUCUGGCGGGCGCGGUGAGGGGAGAUGCGGUGAGGGGAGAUGCACAAGUUUGCAGACCGGGGGUUCGGAGCCCAGCUCCCAGGCUGGCUGGGGGCGUGUGCGCGCCAGCACGCCGAGGGCGGCGGUCCUGUGGGGCGCUCCACGCGCAUUCGGAGGGAGCGUCUACAAAAGCAAGCACCCAAACUUAUUUCUGCUCUGGGAAUCCUUCCCUCUCGGAGGUUCCAAGCAUUUCUGCAGGAACCUGGGGAUGGUCAGUGCUGGUUGCAUGCUGGUUGGACAGUGCAAGGGAUGUUUCCUCCUCCCCUGGCGAUUUUUACUCUUCAUUUUGGUGUUUGGUCUGUGUGUGCGUGUGGGGUGGGGGGGAUGGGGGGGCUCAGUUGCUCCCUCCUUUCCUAAAGUAAGCUGUUGAGGAAAGCUCACUCUUUUUUAAAGGUAUUGGAACCUAAUGUGGGUUUUUCUUGGGAGUAGGGGAUUAUUUAUUUGAAUGCGCCUGGAGUUUGCAAAGAACAGGAGGAAGCUACAGCUUUAAUUACUGUUGUAAAUAAUGUAUAAAUCACGCCUGUCACUCUGGAGGAAGCGGGCUCGCGCGAGCUGGGGACGGAGAGGUUUUCUCUAGCCCCGGCUUGGGCACCGGCCCAGCGCGCCCCCUCCUCUUGCAAUCGGCUUCGGCAGGGGUUGGGGAGGGCUGGGUAGAGGCGAAUGGGGGCCCCGGGAGCUGCUGCCUUCCUUUCGAUGUUAUAGUUGGAGGUAGGAAUAUGGCUGAUCAUGUGCUGGCUGUUUUACAGUAUUCCCCCCCCACCUUAGCCACACCCCCUGUCCAGGCGCUUUCCCAUUCACGGAAUUCGAGUACAGUAAAAGCCAUCAGGAUGACACACGCGAAAAACAUUUAAUUAAAGGCGAUUUCCAAAGAGUAACCAUGCCGAACUGCCGUUUCAGCGGGAGGGGGGCAGCGAGGGCUGGGACGAGAGGGAAGGGGAUGAGGGCUGGGGGUCCGGACCUGCCGCUAAGCUCGGUGAUAUUCAUGAUGGCCUGUGUCAUUCAGUUCCAUCUUUCCAACACAAUGAAAGAGAAAAAAGAAAGGCAGGAAGCAACAUGGGAAGUAGGAACGAAGCGGAAAAAAACCACAGCGAAUCUUUAAUUUAACGAGGCUUUCAGGGACUUCAGGGAGCCAUGAGCGUUGUGACAUAACUGUUGUUAAAAACCCUUUUUCAGAGUCUCGUUAUUAUAUGUGCAUGCUGGCAGCUUACAUAUUUUACUUUAGCUAUCCACACAUGGCUGUGGACCACGCGGUUGGUUUGGAACACCAGUGCUGAAGGUUGAAGGCUUUUAGGGCCGGCAGACCUAAGGGAAAAAUCGAAACUGAAAGAUGGAUUAACAGUGAAAAGCUCAGUUGGGUUGAGAUCGAACACCCUGGAAGCUCAGCUUAGAUGGACUUAAAAUCCCUUAACAGGGCCUGUAGCUUAUGUGUAGCCCUGAGGACUUCUGGAACCACGUAAGUCUUUGACUUUGAAAGUGCGUGGCCUCUCUUGCCCCCUUCGGUUUUGGCUGAUUCACUUUCUAGUAGGUGCUCUUACCUAGCAAUUUAGCGCCCUUGCUAAAGAUUGAUUCUCAGAUCAACUUUCCGCGCGUGGACCCGGCUUGCCACAGUGAGCAAAUGAUGCCCCAUAGUUUGAAAGAGCUACUGGCUGGGAGAAAAUCCUUUGCCAGAGGGAUAACAUAAUUAUUUUUUUAAACUAAAGGACUUUAAUUUUCCGGUAAAUUGCUCAUAAAAACAUUUAUAAUAAUACCCUUUAAAAAUGUAAUAGAAUAAUUUUAGAAAAUGCAUUUGAUGAUAGUUAUGAUAAUCUUUUCUGUUGCUUCCCCCUUAUUUCUUAAAAAAGAAUUGAAUUAUUAAUCUAGAAUUCAAGUCCUGAGUGGCUCAAAACAUCUAUAGGAGACUCUUUUAAUGUGAGUCACCUGCAGGAAUUUUCCAGUACCUACUGGCAUUGUGAGGAGCCCUUGGCAUUAGAGAAUGCCUCUAUUUCUGAAACUGAAGUACGGAGCCUGCGUGGAAGCCCCUAACGAUGAGACCCCUCAGGUUGUUUUUAUGGCAGCAGAAGUGGGGACUGUAGCACACACUCCUGGUUCCACUGUAGACUCGUAAAGACACAGGGAAAUGUGAGAACAUUAAUUGUAAUACUUCACCUCCAGAUGAAAAUGUUCCGAGGAUUUUUGGUAACAGCUGAAUCACUUUUGGAAGCAAACUGCCCUCUGUCCAGAACGAAUCUUUGGAAUUUGAGUGAGACAAACCAUGGGUUCUUUUCCUUGGACCUGUCACUUCUGAAUGAAGAUACAUUUUUUCCUCCAGCUUCUCCUGUGUUUGCGUUUAGGAGCUUGCGGUUUGAUGUUAGAAGGACAGAUGGAGUUGGAGGUUAUUAGAGGUUCAUGUGGGAUGGUCUCUUAAAACAUAUGCCACGUGUUCUGAACUUACUCUUCCUUUCCCCUUCAUCUUUCCGGGAAACUUGAUGAAUUGAGCUUCUUAGCUUAUACUUCUGUGGAAGCAAAAUGCAUAUCCACGUUUCCCAGGUGUCUGGGGAAAGAGCUGUAAUGUGAUUCCCAUGUGUGCAAAAACAAAUAAAAAAAAUUAUAGGAAA